GCUCCGCAGCCGCGCGGAGCUGUUUCCCGGGGGCGGAUUUCUCGCUUCUUCCUCCCUGGAUCCACCUCCUCCCACUCCACCUCCUUCCCCUCCCCUCCCCAGGGGAGGCUCUGGGACUGAAUAUUUUCUGUCUCGAAUAAUACGGUCCCAGGGAACCGACGCAGGAGGAGGAUUAACUCGGGGCGGGAGGGGUGCUCGCCAACCCCCUUCCAACGCGGCUGGGGACCCACAAACCCUCACGCCCAGCAGCACCCCAAAACCAGGUUCACAAAACCUCCCGCCCUCUCCGACCUCCCGAGCGCUGAACCGAGCGUCCAGGAGCGGGGCUUUAUCCUGGGAAAGAGAUUUGGUGGCUGGUGUCCGGGUUGCUUAGUGGGAGACAGUCAUAGCGAGAUCUAAGGAACCGAGGGAUCAAAGGUCCCAGACUGCGAAGGACAUGUCUUGGUGAAUUAUUGGCCCCUUUUUUGAAGCGGGAGGAGCACGAAGCUGGGAGAUGUGGGACUUCCAGAUAAGGGAGUGUCCUCUCACAUCAGACAGCAAAAUAUUUUCCCGUGGUGGGAAAAAAGGGAGCAGGUCACUGCGGCUCCACACCCAGCGCACAGCCGCGAGCGGUCCCUCCCCACUCGACUCCAGGGCCUGGUCUUAGACCCCGGGCGGUUUGCUCCACCCCGCCGCGCCUCACAACAUCUCCCGCUGCAAAUUGUCCAAUCGGGAGACGCGACAAGAGACCAGGAACCAAUCAGAGGCUGCUGACUCAGGUCUCCCUCCACCCUUUGCCCCGCCCCCAAGAGUAAAGCCGCCGCCCCCUGCUCCCCCCCCAGCCCCGCCUCAGUCUCCCCUUCCGAUCUCGCCUAGGGGUCCCGGGAGGUGGCUCACCGGCUUGGGUCCUUGCCUCCCCGAAGUGGAGUAGUAGCUUGACGUGGAGGCGGCGUUUUUCACCUUGUCACCCUCUUCCUCUCCCCCUCCUAAAUACAGCCCUCCUCCCUUCCCCAGUCCUCCUGCUGGUGCUGUUGAGGGUCAUUUCUAUCCUCACUUCAGCGGGGGACUGCUAGCUAUUGUGUCUGAUCAGCUGCCACCACCAUCCUCAGGGAGAAAGAAGAACAAAACCAAGAAGCUAAGGGGUGUCUCUAUCUUUUCCUUCUUUCUUAUACACUUAUCUUCUAAAGACUCAGACACCUCUCCUCCCCUGCUCCUCAACCACUGCCUCUGGUUCUGUUUCUUGAUAGGCAGGGGGACAAAAAACACUCUCUGGGGUAGGAAUACCUAGGUCUCCGUUUUUUGGUCUUACUUAGAGUGGAAAGCACCAAUUAACAACUAAAUCCUCACACUCAAAAAAAAAAUUAAAAUUAAAAAUUGACGAGCUCUUGUUUUUGUUUUUGUUUUUUAGCUCUAAAUUGACUAAAUCAUUUUUAUGGCCUUGAAAUUUGCGUGUUCCAGAGAGCCGCUGAGCAUACUAGUCAGCCAAUAACCAAGAAUUAAAAAAAAAAAAAA